rnacentral:rRNA from 1 species
ACGAACGCUGGCGGCGUGCUUAACACCUGCAAGUCGAACGGAAAGGCCCUGCUUUUGUGGGGUGCUCGAGUGGCGAACGGGUGAGUAACACGUGAGUAACCUGCCCUUGACUUUGGGAUAACUUCAGGAAACUGGGGCUAAUACCGGAUAGGAGCUCCUGCUGCAUGGUGGGGGUUGGAAAGUUUCGGCGAUUGGGGAUGGACUCGCGGCUUAUCAGCUUGUUGGUGGGGUAGUGGCUUACCAAGGCUUUGACGGGUAGCCGGCCUGAGAGGGUGACCGGCCACAUUGGGACUGAGAUACGGCCCAGACUCCUACGGGAGGCAGCAGUGGGGAAUAUUGCACAAUGGGCGGAAGCCUGAUGCAGCAACGCCGCGUGCGGGAUGACGGCCUUCGGGUUGUAAACCGCUUUCGCCUGUGACGAAGCGUGAGUGACGGUAAUGGGUAAAGAAGCACCGGCUAACUACGUG